rnacentral:rRNA from 1 species
GAUGAACGCUGGCGGCGUGCCUAAUACAUGCAAGUCGAGCGAACGGACGAGAAGCUUGCUUCUCUGAUGUUAGCGGCGGACGGGUGAGUAACACGUGGAUAACCUACCUAUAAGACUGGGAUAACUUCGGGAAACCGGAGCUAAUACCGGAUAAUAUUUUGAACCGCAUGGUUCAAAAGUGAAAGACGGUCUUGCUGUCACUUAUAGAUGGAUCCGCGCUGCAUUAGCUAGUUGGUAAGGUAACGGCUUACCAAGGCAACGAUGCAUAGCCGACGUGAGAGGGUGAUCGGCGACACUGGAACUGAGACGCGGUCCAGACUCCUACGGGAGGCAGCAGUAGGGAAUCGGCCGCAAUGGGCGAAAGCCUGACGGAGCAACGCCGCGUGAGUGAUGAAGGCCUUCGGAGCGUAAAACUCUGUUAUUAGGGAAGAACAUAUGUGUAAGUAACUGUGCACAUCUUGACGGUACCUAAUCAGAAAGCCACGGCUAACUACGUG